UACGGAGGGUGCAAGCGUUAUCCGGAAUCACUGGGUUUAAAGGGUGCGUAGGCGGUGGCGUAAGUCAGUCGUGAAAUACUUCGGCUCAACCGACAGAACUGCGAUUGAUACUGUGUCACUUGAAUCAGGAUGAGGCAGGCGGAAUGUGGCAUGUAGCGGUGAAAUGCUUAGAUAUGCCAUAGAACACCGAUUGCGAAGGCAGCUUGCUGGACCUGCAUUGACGCUGAGGCACGAAAGCGUGGGGAGCAAACAGG
rnacentral:rRNA from 1 species